UUCCGAUGAUGACUUUACGGAAAUCCAACACUGAAUUCUCGUGUUGAGUAAAUCCAACGAGCUUUUUAACCCUGAGGAAA
rnacentral:snoRNA from 19 species